UUAAGCGACUAAGCGUACACGGUGGAUGCCCUGGCAGUCAGAGGCGAUGAAGGACGUGCUAAUCUGCGAAAAGCGUCGGUAAGGUGAUAUGAACCGUUACAGCCGGCGAUGUCCGAAUGGGGAAACCCAGUGCAAUUCGUUGCACUAUCGUUAACUGAAUACAUAGGUUAACGAGGCGAACCGGGGGAACUGAAACAUCUAAGUACCCCGAGGAAAAGAAAUCAACCGAGAUUCCCCCAGUAGCGGCGAGCGAACGGGGAGCAGCCCAGAGUCUGAAUCAGCUUGUGUGUUAGUGGAACGGUCUGGAAAGUCCGACGGUACAGGGUGAUAGUCCCGUACACCAAAAUGCACAGGCUGUGAACUCGAAGAGUAGGGCGGGACACGUGGUAUCCUGUCUGAAUAUGGGGGGACCAUCCUCCAAGGCUAAAUACUCCUGACUGACCGAUAGUGAACCAGUACCGUGAGGGAAAGGCGAAAAGAACCCCGGCGAGGGGAGUGAAAAAGAACCUGAAACCGUGUACGUACAAGCAGUGGGAGCACCUUCGGGUGUGACUGCGUACCUUUUGUAUAAUGGGUCAGCGACUUAUAUUCUGUAGCAAGGUUAACCGUAUAGGGGAGCCGCAGGGAAACCGAGUCUUAACUGGGCGUUAAGUUGCAGGGUAUAGACCCGAAACCCGGUGAUCUAGCCAUGGGCAGGUUGAAGGUUGGGUAACACUAACUGGAGGACCGAACCGACUAAUGUUGAAAAAUUAGCGGAUGACUUGUGGCUGGGGGUGAAAGGCCAAUCAAACCGGGAGAUAGCUGGUUCUCCCCGAAAGCUAUUUAGGUAGCGCCUCGUGAACUCAUCUUCGGGGGUAGAGCACUGUUUCGGCUAGGGGGUCAUCCCGACUUACCAACCCGAUGCAAACUACGAAUACCGAAGAAUGUUAUCACGGGAGACACACGGCGGGUGCUAACGUCCGUCGUGAAGAGGGAAACAACCCAGACCGCCAGCUAAGGUCCCAAAGUCAUGGUUAAGUGGGAAACGAUGUGGGAAGGCACAGACAGCCAGGAUGUUGGCUUAGAAGCAGCCAUCAUUUAAAGAAAGCGUAAUAGCUCACUGGUCGAGUCGGCCUGCGCGGAAGAUGUAACGGGGCUAAACCAUGCACCGAAGCUGCGGCAGCGACACUAUGUGUUGUUGGGUAGGGGAGCGUUCUGUAAGCCUGCGAAGGUGACCUGUGAGGGUUGCUGGAGGUAUCAGAAGUGCGAAUGCUGACAUAAGUAACGAUAAAGCGGGUGAAAAGCCCGCUCGCCGGAAGACCAAGGGUUCCUGUCCAACGUUAAUCGGGGCAGGGUGAGUCGACCCCUAAGGCGAGGCCGAAAGGCGUAGUCGAUGGGAAACAGGUUAAUAUUCCUGUACUUGGUGUUACUGCGAAGGGGGGACGGAGAAGGCUAUGUUAGCCGGGCGACGGUUGUCCCGGUUUAAGCAUGUAGGCUGGUUAUCCAGGCAAAUCCGGAUAAUCAAGGCUGAGGUGUGAUGACGAGGCACUACGGUGCUGAAGUAACAAAUGCCCUGCUUCCAGGAAAAGCCUCUAAGCAUCAGGUAACAUCAAAUCGUACCCCAAACCGACACAGGUGGUCAGGUAGAGAAUACCAAGGCGCUUGAGAGAACUCGGGUGAAGGAACUAGGCAAAAUGGUGCCGUAACUUCGGGAGAAGGCACGCUGGUGUGUAGGUGAAGUCCCUGCGGAUGGAGCUGAGACCAGUCGAAGAUACCAGCUGGCUGCAACUGUUUAUUAAAAACACAGCACUGUGCAAACACGAAAGUGGACGUAUACGGUGUGACGCCUGCCCGGUGCCGGAAGGUUAAUUGAUGGGGUUAUCCGUAAGGAGAAGCUCUUGAUCGAAGCCCCGGUAAACGGCGGCCGUAACUAUAACGGUCCUAAGGUAGCGAAAUUCCUUGUCGGGUAAGUUCCGACCUGCACGAAUGGCGUAAUGAUGGCCAGGCUGUCUCCACCCGAGACUCAGUGAAAUUGAACUCGCUGUGAAGAUGCAGUGUACCCGCGGCAAGACGGAAAGACCCCGUGAACCUUUACUAUAGCUUGACACUGAACAUUGAGCCUUGAUGUGUAGGAUAGGUGGGAGGCUUUGAAGCGUGGACGCCAGUCUGCGUGGAGCCAACCUUGAAAUACCACCCUUUAAUGUUUGAUGUUCUAACGUUGGCCCCUGACCGGGGUUGCGGACAGUGUCUGGUGGGUAGUUUGACUGGGGCGGUCUCCUCCCAAAGCGUAACGGAGGAGCACGAAGGUUAGCUAAUCCUGGUCGGACAUCAGGAGGUUAGUGCAAUGGCAUAAGCUAGCUUGACUGCGAGCGUGACGGCGCGAGCAGGUGCGAAAGCAGGUCAUAGUGAUCCGGUGGUUCUGAAUGGAAGGGCCAUCGCUCAACGGAUAAAAGGUACUCCGGGGAUAACAGGCUGAUACCGCCCAAGAGUUCAUAUCGACGGCGGUGUUUGGCACCUCGAUGUCGGCUCAUCACAUCCUGGGGCUGAAGUAGGUCCCAAGGGUAUGGCUGUUCGCCAUUUAAAGUGGUACGCGAGCUGGGUUUAGAACGUCGUGAGACAGUUCGGUCCCUAUCUGCCGUGGGCGCUGGAGAAUUGAGGGGGGCUGCUCCUAGUACGAGAGGACCGGAGUGGACGCAUCACUGGUGUUCGGGUUGUCAUGCCAAUGGCACUGCCCGGUAGCUAAAUGCGGAAGAGAUAAGUGCUGAAAGCAUCUAAGCACGAAACUUGCCCCGAGAUGAGUUCUCCCUGAGACUUUAAGUCUCCUGAAGGAACGUUGAAGACGACGACGUUGAUAGGCCGGGUGUGUAAGCGCAGCGAUGCGUUGAGCUAACCGGUACUAAUGAACCGUGAGGCUUAACCUU
rnacentral:rRNA from 1 species